rnacentral:rRNA from 1 species
GACGAACGCUGGCGGCGUGCCUAAUACAUGCAAGUCGCACGCAGUGGGGACGGGUGAGUAACACGUGGGUAACCUCCCAUCAGAGGGGCUCACACUUGGAAACAGGUGCUAAACCGAUAAUGAUGGAUGAACCCGCGGUGCAUUAGCUAGUUGGUGAGGUAACGGCUCACCAAGGCCACGAGGCAUAGCCGACCUGAGAGGGUUAUUGGCGAGACGGGGAAUGAGAAACGGCCCAGACUCCUACGCGGGGCAGGAGUAGGAAAAGUUACAGAAUGGACGAAAGUGUGACCCAGCGACGCCGCGAGAGUGAAGAAGGGUUGCGGAUCGUAGAACUCUGAUGGUAGAGAAGCGGUAUCGAACCAGAGAGCCGCGGAUAACUACGUGCCAGCAGCCGCGGUAAUAC